rnacentral:rRNA from 1 species
AUUGAACGCUGGCGGCGUGCUUAAUACAUGCAAGUCGAGCGAAUGGAUUAAGAGCUUGCUCUUAUGAAGUUAGCGGCGGACAGGUGAGUAACACGUGGGUAACCUGCCCAUAAGACUGGGAUAACUCCGGGAAACCGGGGCUAAUACCGGAUAACAUUUUGAACCGCAUGGUUCGAAAUUGAAAGGCGGCUUCGGCUGUCACUUAUGGAUGGACCCGCGUCGCAUUAGCUAGUUGGUGAGGUAACGGCUCACCAAGGCAACGAUGCGUAGCCGACCUGGGAGGGUGAGCGGCCACACUGGGACUGAGACACGGCCCAGACUCCUACGGGAGGCAGCAGUAGGGAAUCUUCCGCAAUGGACGAAAGUCUGACGGAGCAACGCCGCGUGAGUGAUGAAGGCUUUCGGGUCGUAAAACUCUGUUGUUAGGGAAGAACAAGUGCUAGUUGAAUAAGCUGGCACUUUGACGGUACCUAACCAGAAAGCCACGGCUAACUACGUGCCAGCCGCCGCCGUAA